rnacentral:rRNA from 1 species
CAAUAGCGUAUAUUUAAGUUGUUGCAGUUAAAAAGCUCGUAGUUGGAUUUCGGUUGAGAACGGCCGGUCCGCCGUUUGGUGUGCACUGGCUGGUUUCAACUUCCUGUAGAGGACACGCUCUGGCUUCACGGCUGGACGCGGAGUCUACGUGGUUACUUUGAAAAAAUUAGAGUGUUCAAAGCGGGCUUACGCUUGAAUAUUUCAGCAUGGAAUAACACUAUAGGACUCCUGUCCUAUUUCGUUGGUCUCGGGACGGGAGUAAUGAUUAAGAGGAACAGUUGGGGGCAUUCGUGUUUCAUUGUUAGAGGUGAAAUUCUUGGAUUUAUGAAAGACGAACUUCUGCGAAAGCAUUUGCCAAGGAUGUUUUCAUUAA